GAUAAAUGUUUCGUUGAAACUUAAUUAUAAGAAGAAAAACUUUCCGAUGAACCUAGUUGUAACUCUCAAUGCCAUAAAUAGAUUAUAGGCGUUUAUACGCUUAAAGCUGCAAAAAUAUACAGAAUCAAGCAUCUAGUAUGCAGAAAUAUGUACAUACAAAAUAUCCAGUGUGAAGUCUUCGUUAUAAUAUCUAACGCUUGGAAGAAAAUCUCUGUUUAGCUUCCAACUACUUUAGUUGUACGUUCAAAAAUGUGAAUUUCAAGGAACAUUCACGGCAUAGCCAUAAGACCACCUACACGAAUUUUUUUUUAACCCCUUGUCUCAUAGUAUCGAGCGAGACUCAUCAGACUGGUAUGGAUUAUGGAUCAAAUAGAACGGAGUCAGACUUGUAUCAAAGUUCAAUUUUAACUCUGGCUUUACUUCCAUAUUAUAAGACCGUAGAUUACUGAAUACAAAUCGUGUAUAAUAUUUCAACGUUUUGCCUCGGACAUAGCGUUAAAGCAGUCGCUAGUUAACGCAGAUGUAUAUAGUCGCGGAAAAGAUCAGAAGGCGAGGGGUUAAGAAGAGACUCGGUUCUCACUAUCGAAUAUUACAAAGUGUUGCGAUAGCGUUGCCUUGUGCGAUCGUGGGCGUAGAUUAAAUUAACGAUGAAUCAUAUUUUUAUGAAAUACGAAAAUUUCACCAUAACACACGGCGAUCGAACACGUCACGAUGCGUUGAUAAGAAUCGCUACUAUUUCACGGAAGAAUCGUUCGUUUCGACAUGUUUCUUGGAAGAUCGAGAAAGAGGAAAAAUGAGAAAGAGAAUAAGAGAGUAUAAUGCAAUAAAAUUUCGUAACGAGAAAUCAAAAUUAUCUUUCCACCCAGUGUAAAAGCAGUAAGUUAUCGGGUGCUCCACAUAAUUAACUUAACAACGAGCAUAGCGUUGAGUUUCUCGAUUAAUCAUUAGCGCAAAGAGGGAGCGAAACAGGGACAGAGAAAGAGGCACGAUAUCUCGCGUAUUUAUAAUUAUAUUGAAAAAAAGAAGAAAGAAAAGUUACGGAUCUCUAAUCGAGACUCAGAUAUUACCGCUAUUUACCUUUCUUCUUUGCCUGGUGCAAACAAAAGACUAUUUGUAUCGUACGGCGGGAUACUUAAAAGGCCGUGAAACGAUUGUACAACGCGUACGCCAAGUGCUAAUAAUUUUUCUGUCACGCAACUAUUAUAAAAAACGUUUCUUUCGUUAGUCGAAACCGUUCUCCUCAUCCGUGCUUAUCGUAUUGGCGAACCGUGUCUAAUUAACCAACAACCAGCUAUCGUCGCACGAAUACCUUUUAACUAUACAACCAACUACUAGCUAUUUAACCGGCUAACGCUUCUAGUAGAGUAUAGUUGCACCUGCACGCUGUACGGUGCAUGGCAGAUAUUACCUGCAGCGAUUACAAGAUCACGGAACCUUGAAAACCUUCUCCAAAUGAGACAACGUUCGAUUACAUGCUCACCUUAGCCAUAGUGAUAGUAUUGGUGGCGGCAUUGAGAUGAACGAAGACGGACAGGAGGAUGGCAGCUUGUAUCAUCGAGAUCAUCAUCGUGUCCUCGGCUGGUGGUACGUCCUCGAGGGUCGAAGGACCGAAGCCACUGGGCCGACACGCACGUAACACGCACGCCACUCACACGCACUCACUGUUCCUAACACAUGGCAUCCUCCUUUUCAUGAUCCCUCUCUCUCUCUCUUUCUCUCUAUCUCCUUUUCCUCUCGUUUGCCGUUUCUUUCUUCCUCCGAAAUGCUUUCACGAUUUCAGCUUUUCGUCACUUUCUUUCACGGUGAUUACUUUCGUCCCUCGAACUUCCUUUCAAAGAACCGCGACGGGGGUAAGUCGCAUGUGAACGAAGACCUCGACGAAAGGACGCAAAUGUAUGUCCAGCCGUGGCAACUGCCGCCGAGCAACUGGCACUUGCUCGCCUGCUGGAGCAGCCUGUCUCGGCCCGAUGGCAGACUCCCCGUUGCAGUCCUGUGUGUUACGCUCCUCUUCGUCGCUAUCGGAGAAUUUCGAUGGUUAAAAAAGUGACGAGGACUUCGUGCCCGAGCUUCGUUACUCGCUCGCUAUUUCGAGGAAUCGCAGGAUCGCUCGUAUCCAUCGUUAUACGGUUUGCUUUAAUCGAUGAUUAUAUCGUCCGAAAUUGUACUCGAUUAAGUUUCGAAAAGAUAAACUCCGUUAAAGAGACGUAUUAUUUGAAGGAUUAUUGCAGCGAGAUUUACGAACAACAAACAAGUCUAAUGCUUUUAUAACGUAUCGUUUACGAUGUAUGGCAGAGCGGUGUCGCUUUGAUCGUUCAACCGUGGCUUUUUCAUCGCUUUCGAUGAAAUAAUAUAAUUAUGUAGAAAGUUUUGAUAAUAUAUGUUAAAAAUU